rnacentral:lncRNA from 1 species
GAAUCCCUGAGCCCCAGGGAUGGGGCAUCCACAGUGUCUCUGGGCAGCCUGUUCUUGUGCUUUACCACCCUCACAGUAAAAGAUUUCCUCCUAACAUCUAAUCUAAAUCUCCCCUCUUUAAAGCUGUCAUUGUCCUAUCACUGUCUGUCCGUGUAAAAAGUCACGGAGUGAGUCAUCUUUUUAUAAGCCCCCUUUAAGUAAUGAAAGGCUGCAAUGUGGUCUUCCCAGAACCUUCUCUUCUCCUGCCAGCACAUUGCCAGCCAUCUUAGCUUUUCUUCAUAGGAAAGGUGCUCCUCUAUUAUAUCACUUUUUAAAAUAUCUUUGUACGUAGUUCCUAUUACAACCAAAUUAAAAAUAGCUUGCUAAAUCUCUGAAUACUUUUGUCAGUAAAAACAAAUAGUUUAUUGGACAGGACAUAAAAAAAAUAAAGCAAAUUAUUUCUACUGAUUCUAAUUAUAAUAAUGGAGAAGGUUUUAAUUUAUUAAUGCAUAACUGUGAAUGAGUAUGACAGUUUAAAUGCCCAGUUUACUUUUGCUUUGCUAGGAAUUGUUUUAGGACAUGGAAUAUUAAUUUAAGAAAAAAUAUUGCAAGCAUUUGGAAGAAUUACAAAUAAAAUCAUAUGAAAAUCUACUAUUGUUUCCCUGCUUCCCAUCUCAGUUUUCACUAUUAGUUUACUACAGUAGAAAUCCAAAUGAAGGAGUCCAAACUUUCCACUUGUGAGAGAGAAUGCCUCACAACAUUUUAAAUACAGACCGUCUGAAUUUGAGUGAAAGAAGAUAUCUAUAUACAUAUUUCCAAACAACUGUGAAUUGUUAAAUAUUAAAAAAAAAAAAAUGUUGGUGGGUUUAUUUUACUUUAUGCUUUUGUUUCUGAUCAGCAGACACAAUUUAAAGUCCAAGCAAUUUCCUUUCCUUUCUUUUCCUUUCUUUACUGUAGGAUAAAAUGUCUGACAUUUUAACUUCUAGCUGCAAUAUAGUUUUUUUCUUAUUGACACAAUUUGUUGCAAGAAGUUUCUUUAACAUAGUGCUAAUUGUGAAAUAGAUUCUGAAAUGUAUCAUUUCUGAUUUAAAUGGAGAUCACAUGGGUGAGG